rnacentral:piRNA from 1 species
UAGCGAAGGUGGAGGAUGAGUAUAAA